AGGAAAUAGAUAGUAUGGGAUAAAGGUAAUUUGCAAACAGCUUUGAUACUGCACUGAAGAGGAAUGAAGAGUGCUGUAGCUCUGCUAUGGAUGUAACAAAUCACAGGAAAGGAGGGGCAAGGCAGAAGAACCAGUGGAACUCCAAGACAGUCAAAUGAAAGUGCCACAGGGAACUGCAGGGUGUACAACCACCAGGGGAAGGCAAGUCUGUAGCACUGCAUGGAAAGCAGGAGACCAACAGUGAGAUGUCUGAAUUACUUGGAGAUACUAAUCUACUUUCAGCUGCUAUAUUUCUUGCAACAUUUCUUCAACAUGGAAAACUUGCCUCAAGCAACUUGUUGGAUAUAUUCAGUAAUUAUGGCACUUUCAGGAAAUUGCCGUGUGCUGCAGCAAAGGAUGGGGUGCAGUAUAUGGGCCUCUCCU